rnacentral:misc_RNA from 1 species
GAGGAGCACGCCGCUGCUGG